AAAGGAGCAAAAAGAUGAAUAAUGUCAUAUCUGCUUUUCUCUCACAAGACAUUAAAGGGGACAGUGUUUCUGAACAUAUAUUUGGGUAACCUGAGUGUCUACCGACCAAAAAAAUGUGAAAUAAAUCCAUCCAGUCCUUUGUUUGUGGUCUGCAUAAGUCUUACAACACAGAGAAAAAUGCUCAUUUUCAAAUGUGCAUUGUGAUGUCACAACUACUUUUUCAUCGAUAAAGACAAGCAGUCAGAUAAAUUUGAAAUCCCUUUUUUUUAUUUUUUAGAAAGUGCUUUAGAAACCAACAUCAACAUACAUGACUCUACAUUGUAAACACAAAUAAAUAUGGGUGAAGGUCACAGCGGGAAUAUCUACGAGCAAAGUCAGUACGCAAGAAUCGAUUAUGAUCUGUCACUACAUCAAUACAGAAUCGUCCACAUCCGCAUCGU